AGGGUUGGUGUACUGUUGAAGCUAGACUUCGGAAAAGCAUAUGAUAAAGUGAUUUGGGACUUCCUGUUGGAAGGCCAUAAACUUAGAGGCUUUAGUGACACGUGGUGUGGGUGGAUCAAACAGAUUCUGUAUAAUGGUACGGUUAGUAUCAAACUAAAUAACUAUGUUGGACCUUACUUUCAAAGUGCAAAAGGGGUUCGUCAAGGCGACCCCCGUUCUCCUUUUUUGUUUAAUCUAGCUGCUGAUUGCCUAGCUAAGAUGAUUACUAAUGCACAAAACAAACAACCUGUUAGUAGGGCUAGCUCUUGA
rnacentral:rRNA from 1 species